UAAGUUGACUUACUUUUAAGCUUAGCCAAAAUUGCUCUUUUUCCUAUCGAUGCAAAUGAAAGACAGGAUAGCUAAUAACUAUGAACACCUUCUGCUGGAGAUGAUUGGAGAUUAAAAAAAAAAAAAAAUCUUUCUGUCUUAGUGUCUACUGAUACAUUUUGCCCCUUUUUAGUUCCAUGACCUACUUGUUGAUGUAACAUAAUCAUUGUGUUUGAAAUUUAUCACAUGUAUUUUCCCUGGCUAUUUCUUCUUUGUAUUCAGCUAACUAAUUUUGUAUGAUAAAAAAUUUGAAUUAAUAUAUCUGACUGUUAUAAAAUCCCUCUCCUAAUCACUAUACAUUUUCCUUGAAGUUCAGGUCGAUCUUUUGGGGGAUGAGGUGGAUGCUCUUUUAAGUUUACUCAACAAGAUAUACAUUGCACUCGAUCAUUACUCGCCAGUUUUACAGCAUUAUCCUGGGGUAAGAUAAAUUUGAGUUAUAUAGGAAAAUGAAAUUUUUUUCAUAUAUUAUUUUCGUUUAAUAUACUUGUCGCUUACCAUUUUUUGGUGAUUGUGGAAAUUCCUUUACUAUUCUGUUAUCUCGUUAUGCUACAUUCUUAAUGGUACAAAUGCUCUUAAACCUAUUUUAUUUUUCUGGAGGUACCUUAUCAAUUCGUAUGUAAAAUAACUGAGACCUGUAUCAUCCUAAGUUUUAUAAUAUUUUCCGAGUACAUCUACUUACUACUAGAUUUAGAUGUUGACUCAAUUUGAGUCAAUUACGUCCAUGUUAAGUGCUCUCCCCACUUUGGCCCUUUGAUGGUCGCUGAGUGGGUGGGUUUCAGCUAACUUAUCAUGGUAUGUUUGUUUCGUAGUACCAAGCAGGACUUGACAUACAAUGGACUAGAUUUUAGCCUCUUUUUUAUAAUUUACCCUGCCAAACCCGGCUUUCAGACUAUUGUCCUGCAUUAGCUUGUUAAGUAUGGCCCACAUGUAUUCUCUGCAUGAAGGUUGAGAUGUAUCUAAUUAACCAGCGGUUUAUUUACUUCGUUGCAGAUUAUUGAGAUCCUUAAGCUUGUUCGAAGAGAAUUAAAUGGAGAAGCCACAGAGACACAUCGAUGAACUCUGGUGAGGUAGUCCUCAAUCCUUGUAAAUUUUUGAGGUAGUCCUCAAUCAUUGUAAAUUUUUGCUGCACGGUCAAUUUCUCCUCGGUGUAUUUUAUGCACGUGGCCCAAUUAUAAGUGGGUGUGCGAAUUACUUGCCUUGAUGUAGAUUUAUUUGUGUACUAGAUUUCUUUCCAUGUAACACAACCAAGUACAUCCAACUACUGGCAGUUGGAACCAGAAGGGGGGCCCUCCGAUGCUGAUAAUGCUGCUGAGGGGAGUCGAGCAUCUGCUGUAAACUAGAGCAUUUUUUACUUUUACAUUCCCAGAUCUAACAAAUGCCAAAGGGAUAGUAUAAUCAAUGGAGAUUAGUUUUUCUUUCUUUCCCUUUUUUUUUUUUUUUUUUUUUUUUUUUUUUAAAUAAAUUUUUUUGUAUCUUUUCUUGUUUUCCGAUGUAUGUAUACAUGUAGAAUGAGUAAAUCUACUUCCUUUCUGUGUAACAGAUGAAAAUACUUGGUUUCUGCAUUAAUAUUUGUUCUUUUCUGUCUUGACGAACAUGAUAGGUUUAUACAUUGCAUGUUUGCUAUCCUGUCUCAUAUUUGAAUAGUGUUACUUGUAUACAAUAGAGUUACAUAAAGAUUUACAUAUGGAUAAAGUGUCAAAGUGAGUGGGGGAGUUUUUCUUCUUUAUUUGGUUGAAAAAAUUGACCCAAUUACAUCUUAUCAUAUCAUGUAUACGUAAACUAUUAUGUAUAUAUAAUACAAUCGUUCAUAUUUCUUCAAUUUUUAUUUUAAAAAAUUGUGUGUUGCUCGUGACGAGACAAAAUUUGUCUAUGUUUUUUAACUCUUCCUAGCGCCUCGAUGAGCUUUUUACGUUCCACAACUUCAUCAAUGCGAAGGGCGCAAUGUUCUAGAGUUAUUAUGAGUUUGGCUGGGUAAUACGUCGUGCCUUGAUAGUUUGUCUGAUAAGGUAGACUAAGUGUGUGUGAGAAAAGAAUUCAAAAAUAAAGAAUGAAAUAGUGAAAUAAUAGUCAAAAAAUUUAUUUUAAUUGGCUUAAAAUUUAAACCAAACAAGUACUCAAUCAUAUUGAAUAGUAGUAAUUAUAAGCAAUGAGAAGAAGGUUGUGCAAAAUCAUACGACAAGUCGGGUGAUGUCUUGUCUGUUUGAUAAGGUUGAUUAGUCUAUACUUGUUAGCAUUAGAGAAAAAAGUAUACAUUUUGUCCAUUUUUAUGCAAGUCAUAUAUACAAUAUCCAAAUAAAAUUGAGUCCUUAUUGGAUCUCUUUUUCUAAUUUUUUUCCCCCUCAAAUUCAUUAUUUGCCACAAAUUUUUAUGGGAUCUGUAAUGUUUAUCAAAAUUUUAGAGUGUGUUUGAUUGGCAUGGAAAAUAUUUUGAUUGGCAUGGAAAAUAUCACUUAGAAAAGAAAAUAUUUUUCAUCUUUUGUGGAAAAUAAAAACCACUUCUACCCAAGGAAAAUGUUUUCUUUAAAAAUAAGGAAAAUUAGGCAUAUUUUCAAAAAUUGGAAAAUAUUUUUCAUGGAAAAAAAUAGCAAUCAAACACUCCAAGUAGAAAUUUGGAUGGAAAACUGAUAUUUUUCAAAAAAAAUAAAUGUAAUCAAAAGUACCCUUAAUUAUAUAUUUUGUUGACUUCUAUUAAAAUAGUUAAAUUAAACAGGGCUAAAAUUUGAAAGGAUCCAUCACACUAGAUCUGGAGAUGAAACCAUCACCAGGCCAAAACUAAGCUCUUGUUUGGCAAUCAUUAUUUAAAAGCUUUUUUUUUUUUCUAUGUACUUGUUAUCAAUAACAUAUUCACAAAAUAAAAAUAUUCUACACUAAAUUCAAUUUUUUUUACUUUUUAAUCGUAUAUUUUUUUAAAAAUUACUAUUCAAAAUAUUAUUUUGAUCAUAGCCAUCGAACGGGCAAAAUAGGGGCCGAGCUCUAUUCUAACCUAGUAUCAUACGAGCAUUUGCGUAUAAAACCCUAAAAACACAGUUUUCUUGCUCUGUUCUGAACUAUCUCAGCGCAAUUCUCUUUCUGUAUUUUGAUUCUGAGCAAGAAUUAACAACAGGAAAGAGAGAGAGAAAAAAAAAAGAUAACAUAAAAUGCCUCCGAAAGCAGCUAAAUCAAAGGAAGCCCCAGCUGAAAGGCCGAUUCUUGGUCGGUUUUCAU
rnacentral:lncRNA from 1 species